AUUCCAGCUCCAAUAGCGUAUAUUAAAGUUGUUGCAGUUAAAAAGCUCGUAGUUGAACUUCUUGGCAUCCUUUAAGCUGGCUUCGGUCGUUUCAAGGGUGUCAAUCCGCUAGGGAACUACAUUCGCACUUCACUGUGCGGUGUAAGGAACUGGCAUUUUACUUAGAAAAAAUUAGAGUGUUCAAGGCAGGCUAUCGUCCUGAAUACACAAGCUUGGAAUAAUGAAAUAGGACUAUUUCCAUUUUAUUGGUUAUUGGAUUUAGUAAUGAUUAAUAGGGACAGUUGGGGGCAUUUGUAUUUAAUAGUCAGAGGUGAAAUUCUUGGAUUUAUUAAAGACAAACUUAUGCGAAAGCAUUUGCCAAGGAUGUUUUCAUCA
rnacentral:rRNA from 1 species